rnacentral:lncRNA from 10 species
AUGCCCUCUCUCACCACUCCUAUUCAACAUAGUAUUGAAAGUCCUAGCCAGAGCUAUCAGGGAAGAGAAAGAAAUAAAAGGCAUCCAAAUAGGAAAAAAAAGUCAAAAUGUCUCUCUUCACUGAUGUAAGAUUCUAUACCUAAACUAUUCCCAGAUCAAAUGAUUUUGGGAAACUCUGCAUACAUUAGUCUCUCUUGGGUAUUACAGCGUAACAGCAAACUGAAAGCCUCCUCUGCAGUAGAAGUAAAAUAACUUGCUUAACCCACUCUUUUCCAAAAUUUUUUUUGAGUACGGACCCCUCACUUUUUGUGUGUGUUUAUUAGUUUUAUGGUGUUGUGGUUUUUUUUGUUUUGAGACCAGUGGGGCACCCCAAAGAGGUAGAAGUCUAACUCCAGAAAGCCUUGAAAACAAAUGUGGCUCUUUCUGAAGGUCCCUCUAGGAAGCAGCAGUGAGGGGGUUGCAUCAGAACAGAAGAUGUGGACCCAGCCUUCCUCAAACUGCCAUUCCAUACCUUAGCGCACCUGCUCUUCUCCCCUCCUCUGUACCUCCCUCCUUCCCAUCCCUCUCAUUCUUCAACCCCCCUUACUUGCAAAACACAAUAUUUUCACCUGACUGGUUGGCUUCUGACACUGUUCUGUUUCUUUCUCAGCCUGAUCAAUUCAGUGAAGAUCAAGUAGUUAAAGAACUCGAGGCUA